rnacentral:rRNA from 1 species
GUCAAAGCGUUCAUUAAAGUCGAGUUGGCUUAGGGAUACGUUCGUUGGGUAGGGGAGCGUUCUGUAAGCCUGUGAAGGUGUGUCGUGAGGCAUGCUGGAGGUAUCAGAAGUGCGAAUGCUGACAUAAGUAACGAUAAAGCGGGUGAAAAGCCCGCUCGCCGGAAGACCAAGGGUUCCUGUCCAACGUUAAUCGGGGCAGGGUGAGUCGACCCCUAAGGCGAGGCCGAAAGGCGUAGUCGAUGGGAAACGGGUUAAUAUUCCCGUACUUGGUGUUACUGCGAAGGGGGGACGGAGAAGGCUAUGUUGGCCGGGCGACGGUUGUCCCGGUUUAAGCGUGUAGGUGUGUGUUCCAGGUAAAUCCGGUUCACUUUAACACUGAGGCGUGACGACGAGGCACUACGGUGCUGAAGCAACAAAUGCCCUGCUUCCAGGAAAAGCCUCUAAGCAUCAGGUAACACGAAAUCGUACCCCAAACCGACACAGGUGGUCAGGUAGAGAAUACCAAGGCGCUUGAGAGAACUCGGGUGAAGGAACUAGGCAAAAUGGUGCCGUAACUUCGGGAGAAGGCACGCUGACACGUAGGUGAAGUGAUUUACUCAUGGAGCUGAAGUCAGUCGAAGAUACCAGCUGGCUGCAACUGUUUAUUAAAAACACAGCACUGUGCAAACACGAAAGUGGACGUAUACGGUGUGACGCCUGCCCGGUGCCGGAAGGUUAAUUGAUGGGGUCAGCGUAAGCGAAGCUCCUGAUCGAAGCCCCGGUAAACGGCGGCCGUAACUAUAACGGUCCUAAGGUAGCGAAAUUCCUUGUCGGGUAAGUUCCGACCUGCACGAAUGGCGUAAUGAUGGCCAGGCUGUCUCCACCCGAGACUCAGUGAAAUUGAACUCGCUGUGAAGAUGCAGUGUACCCGCGGCAAGACGGAAAGACCCCGUGAACCUUUACUAUAGCUUGACACUGAACAUUGAGCCUUGAUGUGUAGGAUAGGUGGGAGGCUUUGAAGUGUGGACGCCAGUCUGCAUGGAGCCGACCUUGAAAUACCACCCUUUAAUGUUUGAUGUUCUAACGUGGACCCGUAAUCCGGGUUGCGGACAGUGUCUGGUGGGUAGUUUGACUGGGGCGGUCUCCUCCUAAAGAGUAACGGAGGAGCACGAAGGUUGGCUAAUCCUGGUCGGACAUCAGGAGGUUAGUGCAAUGGCAUAAGCCAGCUUGACUGCGAGCGUGACGGCGCGAGCAGGUGCGAAAGCAGGUCAUAGUGAUCCGGUGGUUCUGAAUGGAAGGGCCAUCGCUCAACGGAUAAAAGGUACUCCGGGGAUAACAGGCUGAUACCGCCCAAGAGUUCAUAUCGACGGCGGUGUUUGGCACCUCGAUGUCGGCUCAUCACAUCCUGGGGCUGAAGUAGGUCCCAAGGGUAUGGCUGUUCGCCAUUUAAAGUGGUACGCGAGCUGGGUUUAGAACGUCGUGAGACAGUUCGGUCCCUAUCUGCCGUGGGCGCUGGAGAACUGAGGGGGGCUGCUCCUAGUACGAGAGGACCGGAGUGGACGCAUCACUGGUGUUCGGGUUGUCAUGCCAAUGGCACUGCCCGGUAGCUAAAUGCGGAAGAGAUAAGUGCUGAAAGCAUCUAAGCACGAAACUUGCCCCGAGAUGAGUUCUCCCUGAGACUUAGAGUCUCCUGAAGGAACGUUGAAGACGACGACGUUGAUAGGCCGGGUGUGUAAGCGCAGCGAUGCGUUGAGCUAACCGGUACUAAUGAACCGUGAGGCUUAACCUUACAACGCCGAAG